rnacentral:rRNA from 1 species
GUGCACCAGUCGAGAAUUUUUCACAAUGGGGGAAACCUUGAUGGAGCGACGCCGCGUGGAGGAUGAAGGCCUUUUGGUCGUAAACUCCUGUCAAACGGGAACAAGAAAGUGAUAGUACCGUUAGAGGAAGAGGCGGCUAACUCUGUGCCAGCAGCCGCGGUAAUACAGAGGCCUCAAGCGUUGUUCGGAUUCAUUGGGCGUAAAGGGUGCGUAGGUGGCUUGUUAAGUUGAAGGUGAAAUCUCGGGGCUCAACUCCGAAACUGCCUUCAAUACUGGCGAGCUCGAGGAUUGUAGAGGAGAAUGGAAUUCACGGUGUAGCAGUGAAAUGCGUAGAUAUCGUGAGGAAGACCAGUGGCGAAGGCGAUUCUCUGGGCAAUUCCUGACACUGAGGCACGAAGGCCAGGGGAGCAAACGGGAUUAGAUACCCGUGUAGU